AUAUAUACAGAGAUUAUAUCAAAAAAGAGACAAACGAACAAAGACGCGACUUGUUUAAGCGAUAUUGGAAUCGAGAUAAAAUAUAGAAACAAAAUAAUCCGCUCCAUCACCAUGCUAUCCUUGGUUUAGUGGUUCGUGACAAGUUGUACAAAGUUGUACAACGUUGAACCCUUCCUACAAACAAAAUGUAAAAGCCAGAGCUACUACUCUUAUAAGAUGGUCAAUUAAAAAAGAAGAAAAGAGGGGUGAAGAAAAACAAUAAUAUACCUCGAUGAUUCAAAACCUGAUUCACGGGACUCAACCUUUGUCCUUUUCUUUUCAGAGUACAUCUUGAAAUAUUUCGCCAUUACUUGAGGAAAAAAAGAAGAAAAAAUGAAAGCAAAAAAGGAAAAAUGACGUAAUGAUCAAAAGAUUGCUGAGAGAAAGCACAAGGCAAAAAAUAAGAAAAGGAGACGGAGAAGCAGGAUUUGUACUAUUCUUGGAGGGCUUGGUAUCUUCAAGGAUUCGAGUUCGAGUGGCCAUAGCUGUUUUGCCCUAGAUCACAUGAGAAGUGGUGAGAGUGGCAAUGGUUUAAGGGUUUCAGGGGAGGAAAGAUGUUAGGGUUUUGUUGACUCUAAGAAGCCUGACUUGAUCUGCAAAAUUUGCUUUAUUUCUAAAUGGAGGCGGUGGAUUGAUGUCAGCACCAGAAGGAGGAGGAGAAGAGAGGAGACGCUUAUAAGAGCUAGGGCAUUAAUCGAGAGGGGGCUAAUAUUUGAAUCGAUUUGGCCUCCGACGAUGCUUAUAAGCAUCGUUGUAAGUCUAGCCUUUAGACGACACUUUUUAAGUGUCGUCAAUUCUGAAGCUUUACCGACGCUUUUUAGAAGCAUCAGCAAAGUUUGGCGCUGAACCAAAAUUUUCUGAUGCUUCCUCCUAGCGUCAGAAAAUCUCGCUUUUCCUGUAGCUACUGCUUCAUAAAUUAUAGCACACUUGCUUAUUAAAAUUAGUGCAUACAAUUCAUAAAUCCAGUACUCCUCGCGUUACUGUAUUUCUUUUGAACUUUAGAACAGAUAUAUUUUCUAUCAAAAUUUUAUCCCCGGAUUGGUACAGCAGAAUUUUUGAUCAAAUUAAUGAAAAAAAAAUUAAUUGUCAAAUUGAUAAGAUAAACCUCUAUAUUCUUGAAUUGAUGUGGUGGAUCUGAACAUUUAUAAACUAAUGAUAUGAAUAUCAAUGUAUAAGAUCGUCAUGUCUGAAACUAGAUCAAACUCCAGCUCCUAAACUAGAUAGGACGCCUACAUCACCUGAAUUGGUCACCACUCCUCCUAAAACUCAUGUCUCCUUAUCUGUCACCUUUAUCAACUCAGUUUAAGACCUUGGUUAUGCCCCAUGAUAAGCUGUGUUAAUAAUAAAAAUCAAAGAUUAAUAGCACCGAUAGAUAAGCCAUAAAUCCAAAGUUCAAGCAACUACUGGAGUGGCGAGGAGUUUAUUAACGUAAAUUAGCUAUAUCAAAUGACAUGACAAAAAGGAAUUAUUGACAGAAACAACUGUAGAGUGGGGUGGAAAAAUAAUGGACCCUUACUGUGAAAACCAGCCCAUAAGACAGUGAGCUAAUGGGCCAAGCCCAACAUGGCCGGCCCAUCUGGAGACCCAGAGGUGGUGAUCGCCAGCUGAGGCGGUUACAACCGCCUGACAGCCAUGAUCACCACCAUUCUUCUCCCCCACUCCCCCACACUAGGGCUAUAAGAACCUAGGAGUCGGACCGAGAGCUGUGGUGCCGAAGGGGGAAGGAUUCUCAGCUCGCCACCUUGUUGUGCCGCCGGAGCAGACAGAGGAGCUCGCCGGAAUCCUCCACGGCUCAUCGGAGCUUGGUAUUGGAGAAUUGACAGUUGGUGAGCAAAUUAAGAUGAAUAGGAGAUGCUAGGAACAAGGAGCGUGACAUGCUUCAGGGUUAUGGGGAAAAGAAAAUGAAACAUUAAAUGUUGCUAUUUUUAGAUGCUUUGUAAUCAAUCUUUUAUUGAUGAAAUAUUUGAUAACAUUUAAGAAUAUAAUUGUUCAUAAUUGAUUUGAAGUUUUGAAGUGGCUGCGUGUUAUUGCGGGUAAAGGUUUGCAAUAGCACGGCCGUGUCAUGAUCCGAAUUCGGGGCGUGACAUUUAGUGGUAUCAGAGCAAUAAUUUUAACCAUGAUUAAAAACCUUAAGACUAAUCAUGGGAAUGGGUAGUAAGUUAGCUUUCACAUAAUCGGAAUAACAAUAAUAAUAAGAAAAAAAUAGCAAUAAUAAUAUUGGUUUAUAUUGUCUUAGGUGACAAUGAGCAACAAAAAGAAGGAAUGUAGGGCUAAUACAAGCCAUUCUAGGGACGUGAUUGUGACAGAAAAACUAUCAAAGCUUAGGUUAAGAUCAUUAUGAAUUGUGAUUGGAAAACUGCUAGAACUUAAGUUAUGAUCACAUGGGAUUAUGACCAAAAUUAGAAUCAGAGAAUAAGUUUAAGAUCACUAGGGUUUGUAACAGAAAUAUAUCAUAGCUUAAGGUUAUGAUCACUUAGGACAUGACAAAAAUAGUAAAAUUACAUUAAGUGCUUAAGUGAAAGAUUACUAAGCAUUGUAAGUACCGGGUUUGGUAUUCGAUGAGUACGGAAGUACUGGAUAAGAUGUUUUUGAUCAUGAUGAGAGAUGUCUGACCAAAGAUAAGUGUAGAAAGGUUAAAUAUGGCAUUGCGGUUAUACUAUGUUCGGAUAUUGUAUAAGUAACUCGAAAGUUUAAAAUUGAUAUAAAUUUGGAUGUGAUUAUUAGAGUGUGAUUUGUACAUGGAUUGGUCAUAGAAUUGGAAUGAGUCAAGAAGGAUUUUAUUUUAUAUAGUAUUAUAAAGGAUUGUUCUUCAAGGUUAAAUCUGUAUGCGGAUUAUAAUUGGUAUUGGCAUACUUAGAUAUUGCAAAUAGUUGUAUUUCUAUUGGUGGAUUAAAAUUCUUAAGACCAUAGACUGUGCAUGUUGAUGGGAGAAUUCUAGUUAUUUGAAUUUUCAUGUUUGGAUUGGGCUAUUAGAUCUUUUUCAUAAUUAUUGGACACUAUUGGGUGUGUUAGUUUAACCUCAAGUCCAGGUUUAUGAUUUGACAAAGGAUCUUUGAUAUUGAGUGGAGACUUUGAUUUUGGAGAUACUUAUUAAAAUCGGAAUGCUUGCUAACUGGGCUCGCAACCAAAGUGUGAAUAAGCUAUGUUGGGAGUCCUCUCAGUGGAUAUUUCAGGUUAUGAUUAAUUGAAUUUUGACCAAAAUUUAGUGAAAGAGAAUUGAUCAUGGAAUAUUAUCAUAUAAUGUAAUUAUUUGUUUAUUAGUUAAUUUGGAAGUUCAUUUUGAUAUGGGGGGGAGUAUGAAUGAAACUCUUAUGUUGAAGAAAAAUAUAUUGUGAGUUAUUGCAAAUAGGUCUAUUUUGUUAUUUAAGAAUUGAUUUUAUUGUAUUCAUCUUGGUGGAAUUACUAAUAAUUUUAAUUCUCGCCUUUGGAUCCAAAUAAUAGAUCUUAUUCAUGUUUAUCGGGGACUAUAUGAUGUAUAUGGAAUUUCAAUUCAAAGUUUAGAAUUAUAAGUUAAUCUAGGAUCUUUUGUCAAUAUUGUUGAGGUUAUUGUUGAAACCUAAAUUUGCAUGAAGAAUUUAAAUUUUAGAGACGUAGAUGGUUAUGAUGGAAGAUCUUUGAGGUUUGACUCAUUUGUGUUGAAUUAAAGUCUUGUAAUUUGGUGGAGCAUUUAAAAAAAAAAAAAAAAUCUAGUUAUAAGAAUUUGACUUGGAAUUGUCCAGUUGAAUUGAUAAGAGAAUUAAGAUUCAAUACAUUUUGGGAAUUACAGUAACGAGCCUAUAUGAUGAUUUUGAAUGGAACAAUUGACUUGAGAGUUAAUCUGUAUUAGAUGUAUUCAAGAAUCAAAUAUUCUUUCUUUUAGGCUUUACUUGGAAAAUUGAAAAUAUGGAUCUCUUUAGUUCAUAAUACAAGUAGUAUUUUGAUCAAAAGUUAUUACUGAAUCCAAAGAUUUUAGUGUUUUGAAUCAGAGUGCGCAGCGGAAACAUGGUAGAAUGUUAGAUAAAAGACUAAGUAACUUCAUUUGUUUAAGAAUUAAGGAAUGUAAAUUUCGAGGACGAAAUUAUUUUAAGGAGGGAAGAAUGUGAAAACCAGCCCAUAAGACAGUGAGCUAAUGGGCCAAGCCCAACAUGGCCGGCCCAUCUGGAGACCCAGAGGUGGUGAUCGCCAGCUGAGGCGGUUACAACCGCCUGACAGCCAUGAUCACCACCAUUCUUCUCCCCCACUCCCCCACACUAGGGCUAUAAGAACCUAGGAGUCGGACCGAGAGCUGUGGUGCCGAAGGGGGAAGGAUUCUCAGCUCGCCACCUUGUUGUGCCGCCGGAGCAGACAGAGGAGCUCGCCGGAAUCCUCCACGGCUCAUCGGAGCUUGGUAUUGGAGAAUUGACAGUUGGUGAGCAAAUUAAGGUAAGUAACCUGUCUUAAUCUUAUUAUGGAUCAUGUAUCACGUUUUAUAAGAUGAAAAAGUAUUAUUUAUGCAAUUGGAAUUAUGUAUAAGAAUUGUGGAAAAAGUACCUGAUAUAAUCUUAUGUUUCAUCAAAUACUUGUGAUUACUCGAUUAUGAAAUUGUAUAUGAUUAUUUAUGUUUUCACAAAAUUAGGAUCAAGCAUGUGUUAGCAAAUGAUUACAAGAUUUUGGAUACAUAGCAUCCAUCAUGAUUAUUAUUAUUAUAUUAUGUACACAUGAUUAUGAUGUUAUAGAAAGAUGCAUAGAAAAAAAAAUAAAGUUUUUAGCAUGAUCAUGAAUUUUAUUCAGCAUGAUGCCAUUAUUCACUUUCCAAUGUAUCGAUGAGAAAAGAUUUAUGAAAAGCAUGAUAUGUUUUAAAGAACUCUCAGAUUGCUAUGUACGACCACCGCCAGUGGGUAACAGUAACUAGGCAUACGACCCCAGCCAGUGG